UACAGAGGGUGCGAGCGUUAAUCGGAAUUACUGGGCGUAAAGCGCACGUAGUCGGCUUUGCAAGUCGGUUGUGAAAUCCCCGGGCUCAACCUGGGAACUGCAUCCGAGACUGCAUUGCUAGAGUAUGGGAGAGGAAAGCGGAAUUUCUGGUGUAGCAGUGAAAUGCGUAGAUAUCAAGAGGAACAUCAGUGGCGAAGGCGGCUUUCUGGGCCAAUACUGACGAUCAGGUGCGAAAGCGUGGGGAGCAAACAGG
rnacentral:rRNA from 1 species